rnacentral:lncRNA from 1 species
AUUGACUUUGUAAUAGCUUUGCAAAGUCAAGGUUUUUUUUGGAUGACUUGGGUUUUAUGAAAUAAAAUAGGGUUUAUAUUUUGGGUGAUUUCAAGAGUUUUAUUAUAGAUCUACAAGUGAAAUUUUUUGGAUUUAUGGUUAUAGUUGUGUUCAAUAUGUGUUGUGAAUUUGAGCUCGAUCUAUUGGUUGAAUUGAAGGAUAUUGAGGUUUAAAAGGGUCAAGGUCUCAGAAAAUAGAAUUUUAGGUCUAAUGAGGUUUUCUAAGAUUUCUUGCAAUCUAUUGGUUGGAUUGAAGUGAAACUUGUGUAAAAAGAUAUUAGACUUGUUUUUCUAUGUGUAUGAGAAUUUUGAGAUCAGUCGAAUGGUGCAAAGGAGAGAUAUUGGCUCUGGAAGAUUGGCAUCAAGAUUGGAGAAGGAGGCCGGCCAAUAUCCGAGCACAUUUUUGAGGUUAUCAUCAAUUUGGUAAUUCCGAUCCUUUUCAAUUUUUUUACACUUGUUUUGAACUUAGUUUUCAAGAAGUGUGCAAAAUUUGAGUUACGAUCAACGGUUUAUUAAUUAGUUAUUGAGGUUUAAAUCUGUUGUAGGAAUUACUAGGAUUUGAUUAGGGUUUGGUUUAGGGUUUAGGAUUUGGAUUAGGAUUUAAUUUAGGGUUUAGGAUUUGGUUAGGAUUUGGUUGGGGUUUGAUUUAAGGUUUGUUUAGGGUUUAAUUUAGGGUUUAGGAUUUUAUUAGGAUUUAAGAUUCAAUUAGUUUUGGCCUAAAGUUUUAAUGAAGUUCAAUAGGAUUUUAACUAGAAUUAAAUUAAGAUUGAAUUGAGAUAUAUUUGAGUGAUAUUUGUGAUCCUUCUAAUAUUUCUUUGAGAAUUCUUAUUGUUUGUUUGAAAUUUCUUUGAGGUUUUUUUGAAUUUGAUUAAGCUUGCAUAGCAUUAUUAUGGUCUAAUUAGAGCAUUGUUAGUAUUCUAUUAG